rnacentral:lncRNA from 1 species
GUUUUAACUAAUUUAAAUACUUUUGUAUUAUUUUAGGAUUAAAACUAAUGAAGCUGAUGACUGUCAAAAAGAACUUAGAAAACUAAGUUUGAAUCCAUUAUUGCUGAGUCACGGCACACUAGGUUGCUUAAAGAGAAAGAAGACUCUUUAAUGACUUGUCAACAAAUAUAUAAAACUUUACAGGAAGAGCUGUUUAUGAAAGAAAGGCAAGAAGAAGACACAAAAAGAAUUCACCUUGCCGAAAACGAACUGCAGAUAUCCAAAACUCUUCUGAAUCAGACAAAGGAAGAAGUUGUAACACUGAAAAAUGAAAGGGAAUUGAUGCUGAUUUCACAUCAGAAAAGCACUGAGAAGCUGCAGGAAUCCCUGAGACAGAAGCUGCUGAGUGAUGCUAACUGGAGGGAGGAGAUUGAAGCUGAACUUUCCAAGGAAAGAGCUUGA